CAUCAUUAAUAACAGCAGGCAAAAAUUAAUAACAAAUUGCAAGAAAAAUCCAAACGGUAUUAAAUUAUAAACAGGUUUUAAAUGCCUUUAAAAUGAAUAAAAAGAAAAGAGAAACGGAGGAAUCGUGAAACAGAUUCCCAAAAUACCAUUCGUCUUCCUCACGAAGACCGCUUCCCUUCUCUCAAUCUCUCAUCAUCUCUCAACCGUCAUCUCUCACGAUACCCUACCCUUACCCCAAAUGCACAAAUCCAUGGCUUUAAAGAAAUCCAAACAAUAAAGCUUACCUUCGGUGGUGGUUCGGUAGUGACGGUGAGGCUUGGAUUUGCCUCCUUUACCUCAAAGCUUUCUCUUUGAAGUUCUUCUCCUUCGCCGUUUCAAUCUGGGUUUUUUCGCCGUUUUCGAAUUUAGGGUUUUGUGGUGGUCGCCUCCAAAAAUUCGGUCUCUUCAUCUGUGGUCGAUUCCCCCUUUUAUAUCAACAACUUAGGGUUUUAGGUUGGCUUAUGGAGAUCCAGAAGGGGUUUCUGUGAAAUCUCUUUAGGGUAGUCAGAUUUUGGUCGCCCUAUUUGAUUGUUAAAUUCGAAAGAGUGAAAACUAGAACCUUCAUGAGUGGUUUACAGAUUUCUUCUUCUACUUUGAAAAAAGGUGUUUUUGUUAUGGAAAUCCUAGGGUGGAGUUCUAGUGUGGAUGAAGUUCUUAGAUCCGCUUCUGGUUCGGUUGAGGAUGUGAAACUGUUUUGCUGUGAUCAAACUCAGGUUAACCAUUUGCCUUGGAAGUUAUGUUAGAGGCUGCUAUGGAGUUUUCGGUUUUGUAUGGAGGUUAACCAACCAAUUAGUAAGGGCGGAUUCAGGUUGUGGCUUUGAAUCAUGCUGUUGGAGGUUAGGUGGAUAUCAUUUGGGUUGAAAUUCGUUGGACAGUUGGAAGUUCGGUUGGAAUUUGUUAUGAUUCUAUUCUGAAUUCAGUUGAAAUUUGGAAAUUCGGAUCCUUUGGUUUGCAACUUGCAGGUGUGAUGCAUAAUUGGUUAAUUACUGCAGAAUUUUGGACAUAUUUGCUUCAGAAAUGAAUAGAAAGUCUGAAGGUUAUUGGUUAGCUUGGGAAUUUCGGCUUGGAUGCGGCUACGAAGCGCAUUGGAUGGCGGGGCUGUUUUGGAAUUCUUAUGGAGUGCUAUGGCCUUGAUGAUGUUGAUUCGCUACUGUUAGAAAAAUCAUAUGUAAUGGAUUGGGAUAUAUCGAAUGUAUUGAAAUGGUUGGGUAGUGACUAUUGUAAUUUGGUUAGAUAAUAUGUAAUUGAAAGUGAAUGAAAAUUUGAAUGGUUUAUGAAAUAUGGGUGAAAUUGUUUGUAA